UACGGAGGGUGCAAGCGUUGUUCGGAAUCACUGGGCGUAAAGGGCGUGUAGGCGGUCCGCUAAGUCUGAUGUGAAAGCCCGAGGCUUACCCUCGGAAGUGCAUUGGAGACUGGCGGACUGGAGUCCCGGAGAGGAGGGUGGAAUCCCUGGUGUAGCGGUGAAAUGCGUAGAUAUCAGGAAGAACACCUAUGGCGAAGGCAGCUCUCUGGGACGGUACUGACGCUGAGACGCGAAAGCGUGGGGAGCGAACAGG
rnacentral:rRNA from 1 species